rnacentral:rRNA from 1 species
GCUUAUGGUCAUACCACCAUUUCUGCGCACAAUCUCGUCUAGUCUUGGAAGCUAAGCAGGGUCGGGUCUGUUUAGUACUUGGAUGGGAGACUGCCUGGGAAUAACAGGUGCUGUAAGCU